rnacentral:tRNA from 2 species
GAAAUAGCUCAGCUUGGUAGAGCACUUGGUUUGGGACCAAGGGGUCGCAGGUUCGAAUCCUGUUUUCC